rnacentral:rRNA from 1 species
UGGGGAAUAUUGCACAAUGGGCGCAAGCCUGAUGCAGCCAUGCCGCGUGUGUGAAGAAGGCCUUCGGGUUGUAAAGCACUUUCAGCGAGGAGGAAGGUGGUGAGCUUAAUACGCUCAUCAAUUGACGUUACUCGCAGAAGAAGCACCGGCUAACUCCGUGCCAGCAGCCGCGGUAAUACGGAGGGUGCAAGCGUUAAUCGGAAUUACUGGGCGUAAAGCGCACGCAGGCGGUUUGUUAAGUCAGAUGUGAAAUCCCCGGGCUCAACCUGGGAACUGCAUUUGAAACUGGCAAGCUAGAGUCUCGUAGAGGGGGGUAGAAUUCCAGGUGUAGCGGUGAAAUGCGUAGAGAUCUGGAGGAAUACCGGUGGCGAAGGCGGCCCCCUGGACGAAGACUGACGCUCAGGUGCGAAAGCGUGGGGCAGCAAACAGGAUUAGAUACCCUGGUAGUCCACGCUGUAAACGAUGUCGAUUUUGGAGUA